rnacentral:lncRNA from 1 species
UUGACAUGACCUCCUUGGAACAUUCAGACUGGUAAGAGAAAAGAAUUAAACAUCAAAUCUUCCCUCAGGGACUCCAGAUAAGAGCCCAGGCCAAAGGACACCUUGAUUUUGACCUUGUCAGACCUGGAGUUGAAAAACCAGCUGCACCCUUCUAGAAUUCUUACUUACAAAACUGGAGAUGUUACAAGACAAGAUGAUUUCACUGGAAGCUGAGUUUUGCCAGCUUUGGGGAAAUGCUGAUGCAGAACAUCAUUUAUUUAAGGCUGAUACUCAUGGAUAGAAGAGUCAAAGUGCGAAUAUAUGCACCCUUCUAUACGGAUUCUGCAGAAAGAUAUGCUUGGGUCAUGACUCAGCUAUUUACAAAGUUGCUGGUGACUAAUUGCUGGAAAGAAGCUGGGACGUUCUGUGGCCCCUCCAUUUUAUAUCCCCUCCCUUUGGUUCUCUAGGAAAUUGAGUUCAGGAAAGCUACCAGGAAUAAAACUCUUACUUUUUA